AGAGUUUGAUCAUGGCUCAGAUUGAACGCUGGCGGCAGGCCUAACAUAUGCAAGUCGAACGGUAACAGGAAGAAGCUUGCUUCUUUGCUGACGAGUGGCGGACGGGUGAGUAAUGUCUGGGAAACUGCCUGAUGGAGGGGGAUAACUACUGGAAACGGUGGCUAAUACCGCAUAACGUCGCAAGACCAAAGAGGGGGACCUUCGGGCCUCUUGCCAUCGGAUGUGCCCAGAUGGGAUUAGCUAGUAGGUGGGGUAACGGCUCACCUAGGCGACGAUCCCUAGCUGGUCUGAGAGGAUGACCAGCCACACUGGAACUGAGACACGGUCCAGACUCCUACGGGAGGCAGCAGUGGGGAAUAUUGCACAAUGGGCGCAAGCCUGAUGCAGCCAUGCCGCGUGUAUGAAGAAGGCCUUCGGGUUGUAAAGUACUUUCAGCGGGGAGGAAGGGAGUAAAGUUAAUACCUUUGCUCAUUGACGUUACCCGCAGAAGAAGCACCGGCUAACUCCGUGCCAGCAGCCGCGGUAAUACGGAGGGUGCAAGCGUUAAUCGGAAUUACUGGGCGUAAAGCGCACGCAGGCGGUUUGUUAAGUCAGAUGUGAAAUCCCCGGGCUCAACCUGGGAACUGCAUCUGAUACUGGCAAGCUUGAGUCUCGUAGAGGGGGGUAGAAUUCCAGGUGUAGCGGUGAAAUGCGUAGAGAUCUGGAGGAAUACCGGUGGCGAAGGCGGCCCCCUGGACGAAGACUGACGCUCAGGUGCGAAAGCGUGGGGAGCAAACAGGAUUAGAUACCCUGGUAGUCCACGCCGUAAACGAUGUCGACUUGGAGGUUGUGCCCUUGAGGCGUGGCUUCCGGAGCUAACGCGUUAAGUCGACCGCCUGGGGAGUACGGCCGCAAGGUUAAAACUCAAAUGAAUUGACGGGGGCCCGCACAAGCGGUGGAGCAUGUGGUUUAAUUCGAUGCAACGCGAAGAACCUUACCUGGUCUUGACAUCCACGGAAGUUUUCAGAGAUGAGAAUGUGCCUUCGGGAACCGUGAGACAGGUGCUGCAUGGCUGUCGUCAGCUCGUGUUGUGAAAUGUUGGGCUAAGUCCCGCAACGAGCGCAACCCUUAUCCUUUGUUGCCAGCGGUCCGGCCGGGAACUCAAAGGAGACUGCCAGUGAUAAACUGGAGGAAGGUGGGGAUGACGUCAAGUCAUCAUGGCCCUUACGACCAGGGCUACACACGUGCUACAAUGGCGCAUACAAAGAGAAGCGACCUCGCGAGAGCAAGCGGACCUCAUAAAGUGCGUCGUAGUCCGGAUUGGAGUCUGCAACUCGACUCCAUGAAGUCGGAAUCGCUAGUAAUCGUGGAUCAGAAUGCCACGGUGAAUACGUUCCCGGGCCUUGUACACACCGCCCGUCACACCAUGGGAGUGGGUUGCAAAAGAAGUAGGUAGCUUAACCUUCGGGAGGGCGCUUACCACUUUGUGAUUCAUGACUGGGGUGAAGUCGUAACAAGGUAACCGUAGGGGAACCUGCGGUUG
rnacentral:rRNA from 1 species